rnacentral:rRNA from 1 species
GACGAACGCUGGCGGCGUGCCUAAUACAUGCCAGUUGAGCGAUGAAGAUUGGUGCUUGCACCAAUUUGAAGAGCAGCGAACGGGUGAGUAACGCGUGGGGAAUCUGCCUUUGAGCGGGGGUCAACAUUUGGAAACGAAUGCUAAUACCGCAUAAUAACUUUAAACAUAAGUUUUAAGUUUGAAAGAUGCAAUUGCAUCACUCAAAGAUGAUCCCGCGUUGUAUUAGCUAGUUGGUGAGGUAAAGGCUCACCAAGGCGAUGAUACAUAGCCGACCUGAGAGGGUGAUCGGCCACAUUGGGACUGAGACACGGCCCAAACUCCUACGGGAGGCAGCAGUAGGGAAUCUUCGGCAAUGGACGAAAGUCUGACCGAGCAACGCCGCGUGAGUGAAGAAGGGUUUCGGAUCGUAAAACUCUGUUGGUAGAGAAGAACGUUGGUGAGAGUGGAAAGCUCAUCAAGUGACGGUAACUACCCAGAAAGGGACGGCUAACUACGUG